rnacentral:lncRNA from 1 species
UCUCUCCGUGUUCCUUCCCCAGAUUCUAUCAUCCUCCCUCUUUCUUUCUCUCUCUGUUUCUAUUUCUCAAAUAUAUUUUUUCAUUAUUUAAAAAUAAAAAAAUAAAUUAGAAACCCUCGAAUGCACAAACUUCCUCAUCGUCAAAACCUCGCCUCCACAAAGCAAUUCCAAAUUCCUGUGACCAAACACGCCCUCUUUCUGUCUUUCUUCCCGAAACCUAAUUUUGAUCCGCCCCUCAAUCUAUCCACCAUUUAAUUUAAUGCCCCAAUCCCCUCUCUUACAUUUGCUAUUUGGUCCCUCUUCCUCCUCACAACUAUCUUUAUACUUUCCAUCGUUGAUUCGCCGACGCUUCCAACUUCCAAAACAUUCUCCUUAGGUUUUGAUAAAUCUCAACCAAUCUGUAUCACUAAUCUGCUUCUUAUUUUUAUCUUCAGGGUUUCAGCAUAUCCUUUUUCUUUACUAAUAUAUUCAGUUUGUUAUAAAUUUACAAUUUUGUAUUCUUCUUUAGGUUAUAUAAAUGUCAAAACCUAAAAUUCUUCUUACUAUUACUUAAGAAAAAGGUUAAUAAUAAUUGAAACUCAAGCAUAAAAACAAAACUGAUAGACUUUGAAUUCGAGAAACUUAGUUUGAUCGGCAAGUUGUUUUAGUAGUUGUGGUGGCGGUGGCGGUGACAUUUUGGGUAAAGAUUAGCAAAGCGAAAAUUAAAGGGAUUGCAUGGGAGAGCAUGAAGGGCGGAGAGAGCCACCAAGUGGGCUAUUAUUAAACGGGUUAUUGCCCAAUGAAGCAGGUUCAGUGAUCCGACCACUUGACCCGGGACGAUGGUUGAAGGCAGAGGAGAUAACUGCAGAGCUUAUUGCCCGCAUUCAGCCCGACCCCUUUUCCGAAGAACGCCGCAAUGCUGUUGCAGCUUAUGUUCGGCGCCUCAUUAUCCAAUGCUUUCCUUGUCAGGUUGCCAACUUUUACAUAUGUGUGAGAAUUUGUUUAUGCUGCGUUGCUUUAUUGAUUCGACCCAAUGAACAUGUAUUAUGUUGAGUUUUGUUAAUGUUGUAUAUCCCGGUUUAACUUAUUAGUCAAAACACAGGCAUAAAUAGUUGCAAUCAUCCUAUAUUUAGUGAAUGUGAUGGGGUGUUGAACAAAUUGGCAUCAUUUAAGCUUUUGCAUUUUCAUUUAUUUUAUGUUAUUAUUCACUAGUGAUUAUUUUUGUGUACAGGUUUUUACUUUUGGGUCUGUACCCCUUAAGACCUAUUUACCAGAUAGGGACAUUGACUUAGGAGCUUUUAGUGAUGAUCAAACUUUGAAGGACACAUGGGCUCAUCUGGUGCGUGAUAUGUUGGAAAAUGAAGAGAAGAAUGAGCAUGCUGAAUUCCGUGUCAAGGAGGUUCAGUACAUUCAGGCAGAAGUGAGUUUCAUCGUACCCUGGUUUUCUAAAGAUUGUGGCUCAUAGUCUUCCAUUCAUGCCCUGUAUUAUUUGAUGGAAAAUUUCCGUCUGAUGUAGUUUUACAAAUUUCAAACUUGUGAUUUAUUUUAACUGGAGAUAAGUUUGGAUUUAUCCCCUGAAAUUUUAGUUUCAGAGUUGCAAUGCUAUUCGUUGUGACUGAUUGUGGUGAUUUAUUUAUCUGAGAAGAUGCUUGAUUGUCCACUAAACCGUUACUGUUAUUAUGGUUAUCUAAAUUCUUAUUUGUGGAUUUUCUGCAUAAAUUCUAAUGUAACCUAUAUAAGCCCAUUUUGCCUCAAGUUUUUUGUUUUGUACUGAAUUUAACAUUCUUUUUCUGUUAUUAUUUGUAGGUAAAGAUAAUAAAGUGCCUUGUCGAUAAUUUUGUUGUAGACAUAGCAUUUAACCAGCUUGGUGGGUUAUGCACUCUUUGUUUCCUUGAUGAGGUCCGUGGUGCAUCAACUUUGCCAUUGAACGUUUCCUUUUCAAAUUGUAAUCCAUUAUGCUGAUUAUGUUUAUUUGCUAACUGUUUUUUUCUGCUUAAAUAGGUUGAUCAUAUGAUAAAUCAGAAUCAUCUUUUCAAGCGCAGCAUUAUACUGAUAAAGGCUUGGUGUUAUUAUGAAAGCCGAAUAUUGGGUGGUCACCAUGGACUUAUAUCAUCUUAUGCCUUGGUCACAUUGGUUCUUUACAUAUUUCAUGUUUUCAAUGGUUCUUUUGCUGGUCCGCUUGAGGUGGCUAUGUGAACAUUUUCUCACUAUUUUCAUACAUUUGUACUUUUAGUAGUCUGAUAGUUUUUAUCUUUCCACUCGUAGGUCCUUUAUCGUUUUCUAGAGUUUUUUAGCAAGUUUGACUGGGACAACUUCUGUCUAAGCCUUUGGGGUCCUGUACCCAUCAGUUUGCUUCCAGAUGUAACGGGUAUAGAUAUUUUGCUUGAAAAUUCUAAUUUUGAUCCUCGCAUAAGUGAUCAUCAAGCUUGAUGUUUCCCCUUGGUCUGUUUUACAGCGGAACCUCCUCGAAAAUAUGGUGGAGUGUUACUUCUUAGCAAAUCGUUUCUUGAUUCUUGUAGGUAUGCAUAUGCUGAUUUUCCCUGUGGCCAAGAAAAUCAGGGCCAACCCUUUGUUUCAAAACAUUUUAAUGUCAUCGAUCCUUUGCGUGUAAACAACAACCUUGGGCGCAGUGUUAGUAAAGGUGCAUUGACAAACUAUAUACUACAGUUCUAUUUCUUUUGUGGGCUUAUUAUUUGUUGCGAUACUGUGAUAUCAUCUGUUCAUUCCUCUGGCAUGGUGAAUGUGAUACUAUUAAUUUUAUUUUGAAUUAAUAUCUUUCUUUUUUUUUUGAAUGAUCUUUGUAAUUCCAUGAAACAUUGCCUGUUCCUAUUUUUUAAUGUUUUGCUUAUUUUUAUUUCUUACCUACCAUUUUCCAGUGGCAAUUUGAACUGUCUUCAUGUGGUUCUUUUUUGUAGCCUGCUUGGGCUCCAAUGUCGGUUAGCAUAAGCAGGUUAUAUUUUAGUUUAGUUGUGGCUUCAUAUAUGCCUAACCUUUUUAUGAUUGUAUGCUAUGAAUGGCAUCUUAAUAUGUUUUUGCUUGGUUACUUUCUUAAUUUUUCUUCACAAUAGAAAAUUUCACUUCUUUACUAGGUGAACUCCUGUGUUGGUCUCCAUUGAUUCACUUUAUGCAUCUGGUAUCUUGUAGUUGAUUUAUUCUCGAGAAGGGCAUUGUCUAAGAAGUUACCUGUGACUUUUUCUAACCCUCCCACACUUAUUGUGGUGGUGCUUACUUUUAACAAAUGAAAUAAAACCAAGAGCAGAAUAAAUACAUGGGGAUGAGAACCUUACCCGCAUCAACCCUUUCCAUAUUAUCAUUCAAAGUUGGGCGACCGUGGGUGCAAAGUGCAUACGCGGCCAGCAGAGCUACGCCCAAGGUGUCACGCUCAGAUGAUCCUAGAUAUGUUUAUAUUAACUAUGGGGUUUCUAUAUUUAAAUAUUUUUAAUAAAUGUAAAGGGCUUAAUAGGCAUUAUGAUGAAGAUAACCUUUUAUAAUAUAAUUUAUUUGUUUACAAGUGUUUUGUGUUUGUGACUUCAUUGGCUUCACUUUUUCUUUGGGAUGGAAUUCUAAAUGAGUCCACUGUAGUUGUUAAUAACCUUCAAAUAAUCUAUUUUUACCUCAAAACAUCUUUUAUAUUCUUUGUAUGAUCCUAUUUUUAGUGUAGCCGUCGAUAACCUUCACACAUUUUGGCAAAAUUCACUGCAUCUGUGAAGCAAAUGGUAUGGAACAUAUACUUAUAAGCUUGCACAAAUACAUUUAUAUGGUCUGAGUUCAAUAUAUUGUUGCACAAAUAUGGAGUAUCGGCUAUGAGAUUGUAGUGCUUUUGAUGUGCUUGUAAUUCUUGGUCUGAUUUUCUACUAUCUGAAAUUUUGUAAUUUGUUUCCUUCUGUCUAUAUAAAUUGGCCAGGUAACUUCUUUAGGAUACGCACGGCAUUUGCAUUUGGGGCUAAAGGGCUGGCAAGGUUACUUGAUUGUCCCAAUGAGGACUUAUAUAAUGAAGUAAAUCAGUUUUUUAUGAAUACCCGGGAUAGACAUGGUAGCGGCAUUCGUCCGGAUGCACCAAGGAAUGACUUGUGGCGCUUGCGAUUGUCAAAUCGAGACCAUCAACAUGAGCCUGAGAAUCUCCACAACAAUUCAGGUUUAGGUGGCAAAAGAAAUGAGAUUUCCAUUGGUUGUGAAUCUCAAGUUGACAGAUCGCAUGGUAGUGCUUCAUCUCAGCAUAUUAAUAGUCCUGUUGAAAGUACUUUUAGGGUCAGUUCUGUUUCCACAGUUUCUCGUACACAAACCCAAAAAAACUAUGGUAACUUGAAUAGCACCAGGGCUUUUGAUCAGGGUAGAAGGGAUGCUAGUAUUAAUCAGAAUGCAAAUAAUGAUAAAGGUAACAGAAGUUUUAAACCUGAUACAAUGAUUGGUGACAUUAAGGGUAGAUAUCUGUUUGCACGGACACGCUCUAGCCCCGAGCUUACAGACACGUAUGGUGAAGUUACCUCCCAAGGGCGGCCUAAGAAACCCCCAGAAAGUGUAAAAUGCCAGAUGUCUUCUUCAAAGUUGGAGAAUAGUAGAAGGAAGAACUUGGAAUCUGAUAUUUUGGCAAGCCAUGACAUUAGAUCUUCAACUGGCAAUCCUUCAUCUGUUAGUCACACUGCAUCCUGUCAGAGCUUUGAUGCUACUGCUGAUUCAAACAGUGUGUUUAAUAGUUACGGUGAUGAUCUGGUCUUGGGUGCUAUGAGUGAAGAAUUUUCUUCUGUUGCAGGGACACAAGGGAUGCAACAGGAAGAGCAAGAUCUUGUGAACUUGAUGGCAUCUUCCAUGGCUCAUGGUUUUAAUGGACAGGUCCGCAUUCCACUGAAUUUAGCUUCUGGUCACUUACCUCUUCCUCUACCACAUUCAAUUCUAACUUCAAUGGGAUAUUCUCAGAGAAAUUUGGGUGGAAUGGUUCCCACCAAUCUUCCCUUCAUUGAGACUGCAUCGGGUGCCAACAUGCAGUUUCCCCAAAGUUUGGUUUCCUCACCUUUAACCCAUUUUUUUCCUGGUGUUGGAUUGACCUCAAGCUCGGAAGAUUCACUUGAACGCGGUAAUGAAAAUUUUGGUCCUGUGGAAACGAACCCUAUGGAGGGUGAUAAUGAUUACUGGCAUCAGCAGGACCGGGGUUCUGGUGGCGGAUUUGAUCUUGAGAAUGGAAAUUUUGAGAUGCUUCAGUCUGACGAUAAGCAGCAAUCAACUUCAGCUGGUUAUAACCUUCUUCCUUCAUCUCAGAUAGGUGCCUCUAGCAGUGCUAGAAGAGCUCCACAUAAAUUCAACAAAGAUGCCAGGGAGUCAAUGAGGGAAGAUCAUGAAGAUUCUUUCCAUUAUCUAGAUAGUAGAGGUAACGAGGUUUACUUUGAUGACAGAUCUGCCAGUUCAAGAUCUAUGCCUGCUUCACAUACAAGUUCUGUGAAAAGUAAAACCAAUUCUGAGAGUUCUUGGGAAGGAUCAUCGGCAAAGGUCUCAAAACCAGCUAAAGAAAAAAGGGGUAGAAAAAUGGCUUCUACUGCUUCUCCAGUGUAUGGAAAAGGUAGUAGUGUGUCAGAACAUUCUUCUGUUCAGGCUGAUGAAGACAACAAAGAAUGGAAUCUGCUUCCAACCAUGGGGUCUGAAAUACCAGACAGGAGUGUAGGACUUCAAUCCCUUGCUCCUUUACAUAUUCCAAGGCAUCAAAUGCCCGGAUCUGAAGAAGCUCAGACAAGUGGGUCAGAAUCAGUGAUUCCGAUUGCUCCUGUCCUCUUAGGUCAUGGUGCUCGACAAAGGUCCCCGGACAAUUCAGAGGUUGUUCCCUGGACCUUUUAUCCCACAGGUCCACCUGUUAGCUUUUUUACGAUGCUUCCAAUGUACAACUUCCCAACUGAGUCAGGAACCUCUGAUGCAUCAACAAGCCAUUUUAGUGGGGAAGAGGGCCUGGGAAGCAGUGAUUCUGGUCAAAAGUUUGAUAUGUCUGAGGGACUUGAUCAGUCAGAGGCGUCAAGUACUUCAAUUUCUAUGAGAAGGUCUGCUCAUGUCGAACCAUUGGAGCACAAGUUUGACAUUCUCAACAGUGACUUUCCUAGCCAUUGGCAAAAUUUACAAUAUGGCCGGUUUCACAAUCUUCUUGUAAUUAGCAAUUUAGAGUGAGAAAAACAAAAGUGCUAUUUCCAGAAAAAGGAGAACAAGAAACCUUCAAGGCAUUUCAAUCAAGAUACUGCACCAUCCAUUAAUUGUUUGUUUAUUUUCAUAAUCGAAAUGGUAAUUAAAAAUAAUUAUUUGAUUUAAAAUCCUAUUAAAUACAAUCCAAUUUAUUUAAAUUAAUUGAUCCAGUUCGAAGUUUUAAAUGAACUUAUGUUAUUCAGAUGAUAUGAUUCCCGUGAGAGAAUAUAAACAAAAUCUAAAUUUUCAAAAUUUCUUAUCAUAUGAUUUAUUGUGGAUUUUUAUAAACGCAGACAGCUGAAAUAAAUUUAUGGCUUUAAAAUGACAAAAAAGUAUAUAAAGGCAAUGAGGCUGCGGCCUUGGGACGGUAAAAAUAUCGGGGUACAGUCUGAAUUCGCAAAGAUUUGGAACAUUCAGAUAUGGAAAAAUUUGGAUCCGCAUAUUAAAAAAUGUGGAUCCAGAUGCUAAAUUAUAGAAUCCGUACAUAUCCAAAUUCGAAUCCGGAUCCGGCCGAAAAAAGGAUAUCGCAUUAUUUUUUAAUUAAAUUAUUUACUAAAUUAAAAUUAAAUAAAAAUAUAUAAGUUAAAUGAAAAACAUAAUAGAAUUAAUUAAAAAACAUAAAUGAAACUAAAGUAAAAAAUAAAUUAUAUAUAUAUAUAUUGGAAUCCAUAUUAUUUUAUGUGGACUUGUAGUGUUUUUUUAUUUUAUAUAUGUAGUUUGCCAUCACUACUGCGGCCUGCUUCAAUUGCCUGCAACAGAAAUUGGGCCCAACACUUAUAUGGGCCUGCAUAAUUUCAAUUGGCUAGCCCAACUCAUUAAGGAAAAGUACAAAACGGCAGCGGCGAAUAAUAAAAAUAAAAACGAAAAUCUUCUUAAAUAAAAAAAGGAAAAUGGAAAGAACGGUAAGAGAAAAAAAAUUCAAAAAUUUUUUUAAUUUAAUUUAUUUUUUAUUACGUCUGCCCUGUCUCCCUCUUGCUCUCUCUCCGUGUUCCUUUCCCAGAUUCUAUCAUCCUCCCUCUUUCUUUCUCUCUCUGUUUCUAUUUCUCAAAUAUAUUUUUUCAUUAUUUAAAAAUAAAAAAAUAAAUUAGAAACCCUCGAAUGCACAAACUUCCUCAUCGUCAAAACCUCGCCUCCACAAAGCAAUUCCAAAUUCCUGUGACCAAACACGCCCUCUUUCUGUCUUUCUUCCCGAAACCUAAUUUUGAUCCGCCCCUCAAUCUAUCCACCAUUUAAUUUAAUGCCCCAAUCCCCUCUCUUACAUUUGCUAUUUGGUCCCUCUUCCUCCUCACAACUAUCUUUAUACUUUCCAUCGUUGAUUCGCCGACGCUUCCAACUUCCAAAACAUUCUCCUUAGGUUUUGAUAAAUCUCAACCAAUCUGUAUCACUAAUCUGCUUCUUAUUUUUAUCUUCAGGGUUUCAGCAUAUCCUUUUUCUUUACUAAUAUAUUCAGUUUGUUAUAAAU